rnacentral:piRNA from 1 species
UUCAAGGGUAUCUGUUCUGAUACUGAAGG